GAUGAACGCUGGCGGCGUGCUUAACACAUGCAAGUCGAACGGUGAAGCAGAGCUUGCUCUGUGGAUCAGUGGCGAACGGGUGAGUAACACGUGAGCAACCUGCCCCUGACUCUGGGAUAAGCGCUGGAAACGGCGUCUAAUACUGGAUAUGAGCUGCGACCGCAUGGUCAGCAGUUGGAAAGAUUUUUCGGUCUGGGAUGGGCUCACGGCCUAUCAGCUUGUUGGUGAGGUAAUGGCUCACCAAGGCGUCGACGGGUAGCCGGCCUGAGAGGGUGACCGGCCACACUGGGACUGAGACACGGCCCAGACUCCUACGGGAGGCAGCAGUGGGGAAUAUUGCACAAUGGGCGAAAGCCUGAUGCAGCAACGCCGCGUGAGGGAUGACGGCCUUCAGGUUGUAAACCUCUUUUAGCAGGGAAGAAGCGAAAGUGACGGUACCUGCAGAAAAAGCGCCGGCUAACUACGUG
rnacentral:rRNA from 1 species